CUUCUUCAUUGAUUGUAACUCAAGUUUUUCGGAGAUCUUCCUCCCCUUUCACUCAAACUUGUUGAUAUUUGGGGACUCAAAGACAGAUUGGAGACUCCUAGACGGUAGGAGUCCUCGGUGAGAAAAUGAUUUGUGAUUUUUCCCGUCGUUUGUGAAGGUUUUGAGAUCGCCUCCAGGUAUACCACCAGUGAUUGGGAAUCACCUUCUUGGUGAUAUCUCAACAAGAAGAGGGUGAGCUUUCAUGGUGUUGAUGUGCCUUUAUGGUAACACCCACCCCUCCAACAUUGACUAGUUUCUCUCCAAAGAAGCGACCAUUCGGAUAUUAUCGUCUCAGGUGUUUUCGGUUAUAUCUAGCCCCUAACUCACCAUAUAGAUUGUUUAUCUCACUACAAUUGUUUAAGAUCUGGUAAGUAAGGGGUUAGUAGAAAACCAAUUAUUGGACUAGUAUUACCAAAAAAAAUCACGUGGAGAAAUACUUUUUAUGAGUGUGGUACUAUUCGAAUCAAUUGAGUUAAACCUAGCAAAAUUGGUGUGAUUUGUGUCAAUCACGAUCCCUAGAUAAGAUACUGUUUGUAGAGAUUGAUUCGUUGUAAUCCUAUAAUCAAUUGUAACAUUAGCGAUCAAGUGUCAUCCAUGUAUAAAUACGAGGCAAAUCCCUACGGGGUAUCUCACAGCAAAACAUUGUAGUAUUUGAGUUGGUAACAGAGGCAAGAUGCCGCAGCAACGACAGAACCAACCUGAAGUCCCAAGUUUGAUCCCUAUUCAGACAUUGUGUCGCAACCGCUUCAAUCAUGUGUACUAGUUCAUGUCCAUAGUGUACUACAAACCAGUGCUGCGGCGUCGCUGGAACGCUCACGAUGAUCCUCGGGCUGGAGCACAUGAUUAAAGCGGUUGCGGCAUUGCCUGAGUUUGGAGCAAACAUGGCUCUUGAGAUUGCUUCCGCCAUUGCCGCGUAUGCGCCCACCUAGGCCACAUAAAAUGCACAUUAUUUGAUUUCAGACCAGAUUACAUUGUGGUGCAAAUGUGUGCAGGAUUCGGUGGAGGUUCACUUGACACUUGAGAGUUCAAGGAUGGAGGCGACAUGCUUCAAGAAACAUGAUGGAGUAGCCCAUUUCAAAACUUGGAGUAGCAAGCUCUGUUUGCCCUCGGUUUCUGAACUUGCCAGAAGUCGAUGGGAGGUCGAGUCGUGAAACAGCAGCAGCAGCAACGAAGAUACUGCUGAACCUUCCUCGCUCACCUGCUCCCGCUGCUGCUGACCCUUCUCGUGAUGCUCGUCCUACUCCCCACCGGAGCUAACCACGACCGACAACGACAAACAGGGCAGAUUGCGAUCUUUCCUGACCUACUGCAGCAACAAACAGCACAGCACAUUACUCUGUCUCCAUGUCUGAACUUUUGUUUGAAACAAAGUUCCUGAACUUCCUAAUUAACAUGUUCUAAUCCCAGCGCGCAUUGUGCUAGGAGCACCUCCGAUCCUUCUCUGUGAAUGUUUAAGAGGAAAAUCAACCUUGCGUCGCUACAUGUAAGAGAGAGGCCUAUGGGCGACGCUACAGGUUGUGUGGGUGUGUAACUUAAAUAGCAAACAGUGAUUUGGGUUUGUGACACAGACCACAAGAAGAAUGGCAAAGCUUUCUAUCUGCUAUGGGAAGGCCACCUCUCCUUUGCUUCUUCUUGUUGAUGAUACUUGUUCUAUUCUAUCUGUGUACAACCCAUGGAGUUUCA